AGAUACAUCGCACGAUGGCCGUGGCAAGAACACCGCUAGGAGAUGCAGUGUACGGGCGGCCCAUUGCCGCCGACAGGCACGAGAGCUAGAUCCUUCCAGACUUCGCCGACGGCGCCGCGGCCCCUGGCCAGCAGCAGCACAGUGGGUUCUCCAUUAGCAGAGCUAUGUCCGGCCCCAAGACCAAGUGCCGCGGUAGGCCUCCAGGCUCCGACAAGAAGAAGCAGUUCGAAGCCCUGAGAGCGGCACCUUCUUCCUAUUGAUUUCCCAGAUCAGUACUGGUUGAGAGCGAUUCAGCACCCUACAUUUGGUGAAUCCUUUGUUAGGCGGAUCAAUUUUCUUCCUCAAAGUUUUUGCAGCGCUUCUCAUUACACAGCUUUGUACGUCUGCAUAAUAGAUCCUUGAGUCCAAGAAGGUAUGCCAUGCCCGUUCAUACUCUGUAGGAUCUAAAAUCUUAUAAAGAUCUAAACGGAAGAUAGCAUUCCUUUUUGGUCUUGCUGGCUGUGGUCCACAAAUUGACCGAACAUUAGAUAUUUGCACUUUUUUGUUGGUCUUCGAUUACGUAGGUUAACCAGUACUAAACAUGCUCACCAAAUAAUAAAAAAAAGACUCAUGCUUCCUUUUAUAGAGAAGAAUGGUCCUCUGUGUUUACACCUUUUAUGCUUUUUUAAACCAGAAGCUUACAUAUGUGCUGUUACCUACCCACUUAAUCACACCAGCCUGUCUUAGUUAAGCCUUUCCUAAUGGUUAGUCCAACAGCCAUUGUCUUUGUUUAUCCACUUACACCACGUCUUUAAAAAAAAAAGAGGU